rnacentral:rRNA from 1 species
UUCCAGACUCCUACGGGAGGCAGCAGUGGGGGAUAUUGCACAAUGGGGGGAACCCUGAUGCAGCGACGCCGCGUGGGUGAAGGAGCGUUUCGGCGCGUAAAGCCCUAUCGGCAGGGAAGAAGGAGGACGGUACCUGACUAAGAAGCCCCGGCUAACUACGUGCCAGCAGCCGCGGUAAUACGUAGGGGGCAAGCGUUAUCCGGAUUUACUGGGUGUAAAGGGGGCGCAGACGGCAAUGCAAGCCAGGAGUGAAAAUCCAGCGCUUAACGUUGGAAGUGCUUUGGAAACUGCCGGGCUGGAGUGCAGGAGGGGCAGGCGGAAUUCCUAGUGUAGCGGUGAAAUGCGUAGAUAUUAGGAGGAACACCAGUGGCGAAGGCGGCCUGCUGGACUGCAACUGACGUUGAGGCUCGAAGGCGUGGGGAGCAAACAGGAUUAGAUACCCCAGUAA